rnacentral:rRNA from 1 species
AUUGAACGCUGGCGGCAGGCCUAACACAUGCAAGUCGAGCGAGCGGCGGACGGGUGAGUAAUGUAUGGGGACUGCCCGAUAGAGGGGGAUAACUACGGGAAAAGGUGGCUAAUACCGCAUACUAUCGGAUAACCCAUAUGGGAUUAGCUUGUAGGGGGGGUAAAGGCUCACCUGGGCGACGAUCUCUCGCUGGUCUGAGAGGAUGAUCAGCCAAACUGGGACGGAGACACGGCCCAGACUCCUACGGAGGCAGCAGUGGGGAAUAUUGCACAAUGGGCGCAAGCCUGAUGCAGCCAUGCCGCGUGUAUGAAGAAGGCCUUAGGGUUGUAAAGUACUUUCAGCUGGGAGGCGUUACCCGCAGAAGAAGCACCGGCUAACUCCGUGCCAGCAGCCGCGGUAAUAC